GAUGAACGCUGGCGGCAUGCCUAAUACAUGCAAGUCGAACGACAAGACGAUGAGAUUGUUCCCUUGCCGUUGGCGAGGGACGGACGGGUAAGAAGUACAUCAGCUACCUCUUAUACUGGGAUGACUUCGGGAAACAGGAGCUACUAACAGGUCAUAUAUUCUACCGCUUGGUUCAGUAGUGCUACUCGGUUUUCCUGUUUGAUUUAGCUGGAUCCGCACUGCCUUAUUUAGUUGGUAAGGGAACGGCUUAUCAAGGCAACGAUGCGUAGCCGACCGGAUAGGGUGAUCGGCCACACUGGAACUGAGACACGGUCCAGACUCCUACGGGAGGCAGCAGUAGGGAAUCUUCCGCAAUGGGCGGAAGCCUGACGGAGCAACGCCGCGUGGGUGAUGAAGGUCUUCGGGUCGUAAAGCUCUGUUGUUAGGGAAGAAAAGAUGCGUAAGAAACCACGCACGUUUUGACGGUACCUAAACAGAAAGCAACGGCUAACUACGUG
rnacentral:rRNA from 1 species